UACAUUUUAAUUGAUCUUCCUGGUCUAGAUCUCUAAUGACCACUUGAUUUCACUUGAAAUUUUGUCAAGUAAACUCCUACAUGUUGACGUGACAUACUAUUAGUGGAAAACAAGUAUUUUCCAGUUGUCAAAUGUUCGUAGAAAUAAGUUUGUCGCUUCCUUGUUGGAUAGUAUUUAAGUAACAAUGCUUCUUCCAGAACACUAUUUCGAUAAGACUGCAAAAGGUAAGCGAUUUUUGUUUAGACAAUACUAUUUACAAGAGGUAUUAAGCUUAUGGAUGAAAUGAAUGUUUUACCUUUUUCUUUGCUUGAUUGUAUUGAAGUUCAUUAAUCAUAUCAAAUAUAAACAUAAGUAAACUGAAAAUUCAUAAAUUUUAAAAUUUAUUGUUUAAAUUGUGAUUCAGUCAAAAUUAAUAUUAAUUGUCUAUUUCGAUGUCAACAAUACAUCUUAACAUUUUGGAGUAAAAAAGCAAACUUGCCGCAUUUGUAAAUAGUGAUAUAACAAAAAUACCAAGCUCAAAGGAAAUUUCAAAAACGGAAAGCUCAAAUGACAAGAAACGCUCUAACACAUUAGAAACAAAUUCAACUUUCGGUUACAUUUUAAUAGUAGUAGUUGAUUUGACUUUUCGGUCACAACCUUAAAUAGUAGUAAAUAUGUCUUUUAAAUUACAAUGAUAACUUUAUUAUUUUAUCUCAAUUGUGCCUCAUGUAACUCUGUCAUUUUGAGAAUAAGAAGAGUUAUUUUAAUAACUUCGUGAAAUUAUCCUUAAUUGCUUAGAUUUUGUUUCUUUUAUUAGAAAGCAUUUUUUACAAUACAUUUGGAAAUAUUUAUUUUUGAUUGCCGACGUAUAGUUUAAUACUUUGUUUUCCCUCGUGUCUUUUUUUUUUUUACAGAAAUCAACAAUGGCUCGUUUAGUGAUGAUAUUUAUGAAUGCUUUUUUAUUUUGUGUUGUCACGGCCGAUAUGGAUAUGGUAUGUUUAUUUCUUUGUCAGAAAAGAAUAAGUUCAAUGCAUGAUUUAUACAAAUUAUAUGUUAGUUGCAUUCAUACAUUCUACUCCGCCUUCCCUUCCGGAGCAACACGACGUUGUUAUUGGUAUUUCUACUGCUCGUUCUUUUGUUUUCACUACAGUGUAUUUUAGUCUGUUCGUCGUUUGUCUUUUUAUCGAAGUUGCUAUUCUCUUUCAAUUAUUGUCUGUUAUUGUCCUCUUGGUGUUUUCCCAUCUUUGGCCCUUAAACUAUGAAUAAUUAAUAAAAAAAAAAACCAAUAUGUACCUAACGUGGGAAAUGUUUACUCUUAAUAAAUAUCAAGAAGAUGUCUACAGUCAUAUAAAGAUAUGACAAAGUCGUGUUUUGCUGUGUAGAAUUGAAUAUAACAUCUAGAUACAAGCAGAUAUUUUGACAAUAACUACAUUUUGUAUUAACCGAUUAAUAGUAAAAAAAAUAAAUUUACUCAGUAUUAGUUUUAUGCUUGAAGGAAUUACUGUGAUAUUCGCAUGCAAAUUAUAUCACGUGAUUAGUGAUAUACUUUUCAUAACCGCAAAUCGCCAUUUUUGGUGAUAGUUGUCUCAAUGGCAAUCAUUGGCAUUCAUGGCACAACUUCUUAAUUGUAUAUUGUUGAGAAUGCGUUUCUAUACAGCCUUUUUGUAAGGUCAAAUUGAACAGUUGUUAGAUUUUGGGAAUAAGUAGAAUAACCGUAUAUUUAGUCCCGAUAUAUAUAGCAGUACUUUAUAUAAAAUCAAAUACUUAUUUACUGGUUAUUCAAAAACAUCAAGUUGAUGGUCCCCUUCGAUAGCGACUUGUUGCUGUUUUAGGGGGCAUUACACUCGCUAUUGUUUUAAUAGCUAGUAAAAAAGUGUAUAUUACUGAUUCCAUGCAAAAAAUGAGUCGUUACAGAAUAGUAGCUAAAAACGGACAACUAAUAUUUAUUCUUUUCUCACUCAUCUAGAAUAACGGCAAAAUGAAUUAAGUUGGGGGAAUCAAGUGAACGCAUGGCAAUUAAUUAUAUGUGGCUUCUGAACAUAUUCCAAUAGUAAAAAGUAAAAGCUGUAACUUAUAAUGAUAAUUUCAUAUUGUAAUUCUUAUAUCGUAAUCAAAAAUGUUGAUUUGCGAUACUGUUACCUCCUGUAAGAACUAAAUAAACUGCAUUUAUUUUUGUAUUGUUUAUUUGAAAACAAACCUCUCAUGUGAUAUAUAUUUGUUUUAAAUUUGCGUCUCCUUCUUUAUCAUUAAUUUUGAACAAUUUGCUGCAAUACGAUUUUUUUGGUCUCCGACAUGUUUGGUGUUUAUUUGAAUGUUUUAAGGUAUUCAUAAUUUAUAAGCAAAACCUGUUCUUUCAUUUUAGAAAUUUGGUUAUCAUGUUAUUGAAGGGAAUGCCAGAUAUGUAGAAAACAUAGAGACAAAUCUAGUAGAGAAUACAGUAAAAAUUCACACCCCAGCACAUAAUGAUGUUAUGGAAUCGUACCAAAUCCAAGAUUUCCGUCAGGUUUGUAAAUGAACAACACUAUUAUCUAUGAAUGGUGAUUUUUUUUGCAGUGUGUUUUAAACUUAAUAACUAUAUCAUUUUUUUCAUUCUAUUAAGUAUUUUGUCACAUAUUUGAAAAAAAGCAAAAUACACUCUAUACGUAUCACAAAAAAUUAAAAAGUAUUUGUUAUAAUCAAAUAACUUCCUUAAGUAAAAAGUAUGUUUUCUUUACAGGGUCAACAGAUGAAAUGUCUCCCUUCCAUCGAGCAAUGUAGACUGCGGGACAUAGACAGAAAAACUGCUGGAGAUGCCGGUCAAGUUACAGAGGGAUUUAUCCACAGCUGGGUAUGAAAUAGAUGAACACUAUUCUAUAAUGUUAUAUUUGUCAGUUAAUCAAAAUCUGUUAAAAAUACAAAAAAAAAAAAGUCAGUCAUAUGCAUGGUUUUAGCCAUUCGAAAAAGUCUAUAAGAUUUUAAAAGCAUUCGAAUGUAAGUGUGCAUAAUGUUGUUCGAAAGAGGCAUUGCAUUGUGCUACGAACUCAAUAUUCUUAAACCAGUUUGUACGAAAACAUAAAUAGAUAAAGAUGUUUUUCAUUCAUUUUUGGGCGAACAGAAAGUAAUCAUUUGUAUAACUGAACACUGAUUAAACAAAUUAGCAAAGUACAGAGUCGUCACCAUCUUAAACCUACAAUGAUCAAUACAGUGGUUUCUGUUUUGUGUUUGAAACGACCGAAGAAAAAAUGGUCAUCUGUCUAGCUAUUUAUUUUUCGAUCCCGUUAUACUUAUCAUUGGCAGUAAAUCCGGAAAAGCCUUUCGAAAGCAGCAAAUUGAAAAAUAAAACAUUCUUUGUAUUAUAUACAAGAUAAAGUAGACUGAGCGUUAACAAAUAUCCUUUCUGCAACCUAACUCAUGGUUUAAAUUGAAAAUCUGUACAGAAAAAAAGCGAUUACAAACAUUGGACUAUUCAAAUAUCAACUCAAUAAAACAUUAUUUUGAAUAGAAAAAAGAUUCAGAAUUCUACAAUAACAUGAAUAAUAUUUCUUUAUUUUAAAGUGAACACGUAUACCCACACAUUGCUACCUGAUGAAAUAUAACAACCAUGUAUGUUAACAAAAAUUUACUUGUUUAAUGUCUUAUAUUCUUGUUUUCACAUUAAUAUAUAAUGUUUGUGUAUGUGUGUGUGUUUGUACGUCUGCGUUGGUAUGUUUACGUGCGAAUAAUUACUUCUUUUUUUAUAGAACAAAGGAGAUAAUACUAUAAAUAGUGACAACGAGAAAGUGGUCAAGGAAAUGUAUUAUAUCAAUUUGGAUGAGGUAGUGGAUGUCAGCUUCCUUGAAGGGGCUUUGAAAAAGUUUUAUCAGGAUUUUAAUUACCCUGUGUAUAAGGAAAAGAAGAUACCAGAAGAUGCUGAAAUGUUGAAUAUAACACGUUCAACAGGUUACAAAAACAAAGGUUAUCAUUUUUAAAUAGUUUCUUUUUAAAGUGAAGCGUAAAUAAUUUUCUGUGUUUUUGUCUGUUUUUGAUUUUUGAUACUUAAGUUUUAACUUCGAUAUUUGACUGUUUAUAUAUGAACUUUCCCUCUCAGGUUUAACUGUUUUACCUAAAUCUUCACCCAAUAAUCAAUUGUUAAUAAUAAACUCAUCACAAAUACCAGGAUUAAAAUCUAGCAUUUUCGCCAGACACGCAUUUCGUCUACAAAAGACCCAUCAGUGACGCUCGAAUCAAAAUAGGUUUAAAAGACCGACAUUGAAGAGCAUUGGGUACCAAAAAUUCCUAAAAGUUUGCUAAAUACAGGUAAGGUAAAAGAGCUUCGAAUUUUGUGUUUCACUGUUUAUACCUUGAUUUUAACACACGAUUUAACUGUUUGUACAUGGACUUUAAAAGCCUUUUUUUUUUAUUUUAUACCUGUAAUUUUCGUGUUAAAAAUUUUGGUAAAUAUUUUAUUUUAUGAUUUUUGAAAUCAGUUUGAAUAUGUCUUAUUUUGUAAAUAACGGAUAGUAUUCGGAUGCACGAUAAAUUAGUGACAGGCGUGUAGUGUUAUCCUUUUUCUCGAACCAAUUAAUUGUGAACUUGGAUUAAAUAAUGCAUCGUUGAAAAUGAUAACAGUGUUAUUUUAACUCACUUAUCAUACCUUCAUAUUAAAUAAGGCUUUCAUUGUGAACAGAUAUCAACACAUAGGAGUAAGUAAUAAAUACAACGGAUAACAGAUGAUUAAGGGGACCAUUUUUUUUUUUAUCAAGAAUUAAAGUUUACUUAUUGUUUCUAUAAUGCAUAAUCACUUCGCUGAUUAAACAGCACUCUAUAAUCGUGAAGUUGAGUAGAAAUUAUGAAAUAUAUAUAUACCGACAUCAGGAGACCUUAUAAUAAAAAUAAAAAAAUAUCAGCAAAUUUGGUUGCUGAGUGAAGUUAAUGUGAAUACCAUUUUUUAAUGGAUUGGGGAAAACUUUAAUUUUUGUUUCUAUUUGAUUUAUUUGUUUUGCCAAAGUCUGUAUACAAGCCUAGAGAAAAUUUGAAAUUCAUUGAAUGUUUAAAUUCAUGGUUCACCUGUACCUGCGAAAUCCCUGACAAUUAAAACACCGCCUAAGUUGACUGUAAUAAAACCCGCAGUAGAUUUUCAUUUUAGCGUUGAUUGAAAAAUUUAGGAGAUAAGGGACACAGGUGAACGUAUAUGUUAUCAGUUAUCAUAAAGACAAUAUAAGUUCCGAGUAAUUCAUUUUUUUUUAAAUCUUCAAACUGAUAAUAACAAACGCAUUACUGUAUUAAUCUAUAUUAAGAUUAGAAUGACCAACUGAAUUGCGAGAAUAUUGAAUGUAUUACAAAUCCAUGGUGUAAUAAAUUUAAAUAGAAAUAGGAACAUGACUGGAGUUUUAAUACAAUGAGACAACUCUCGAUGCAAGGAACAAUUUGUAAAAGUAAACCAUUAUAGUUCAAGGUACGGCCUUCAACACACAGUCUUGGCUCACACCGAAAGGGCCCCAAAAGUUUCUAGUUUAAAAUCAUUCAGACGGGAAAACCAACAGUAUAAUCUUUAUAAAAACGAGAAACUUAAUGUUUAUUAAAAAUGUACAUUGGAUAGGGUUAAGAUCUUAUAGUCGGAUAUUUGGACUUGUUUUUUCCAUACGAUACAGGGUAUUUUAUUUUGCCCCCUAACACCAAUUUUUUUCAUGAAAUAGCUCAGAAAAGAUCAUUCACAAAAACUUGAGCAGAUUUUAUAUUUCAUUUUCUAUUGAUUUAAAACCAAAUUAAUACCAAUGCAAAUAUAAGGUAAAUGUCCGAGUCGACCUUUUCCCAUUAUUUUGAAAGAAAAUUAAAUAGCUCACAAAGAAGUUCCGUAAGUUAUCAAUAUGUUUAGCUUGUUAUGUUUCCAAACUAAUGCUCUUCUGAAUUGAACUAUCCAUUUUGAAAUAUAGAUUUUUUAUUUCUCUUUAGUUCUUUAUCAUCAAAACUGAACGUUGUCGUACAAGAUCGGUAUCAUACACUGUGAGAAAGAACUGUAAUCGAUUGUAACAUAAUUUUUCAGGUGGUCGUGUUAAAAGGCAAUUCACUACGCUAAAUAACGAUUGCGAAGGACAGACAGCAAAAACAAUUUUUGGUAUUGAUUCAGGGAGAAGUUGCAAUCAUCUUAAAAUGUGUCAAACGUAAGUUACACUUAAUAUUGUUCCUCUUGAUUUCAACUGUUUUUGUUGGACUGCAACGAACGAGUCUUGUGUAGACGUGGUAAAUUCUAAGUCUGGAAUAUAUGAUGGUUCAUUUGUUCAUGAUUUGUUUUUAUUCGACACUAUUCUUGAAAUCAUUUCAACGCCUUACUUUGUUAUGAUGCCAAAGCUAUGCAAAAAAUGGCACGUUAUGAAAUAUCUGUUUCUCUUUUGACAACAUAUAUCGUCGGAAUUACGUGUUCGUCCUCCAUUUAUUUCCUUCUGAAUUUGACCUAUAGAAUUCGACUUAUCACCAAUUUUUUACUUACAUGAACAACACAAAUUAAAAUGUUCUGCCUUUUUUUUGGUUUAAAUUUCAAUCUAGAACGUAGUAUAAAUCCUAUCAUAUAUGUAAAAAAAAAAUAAGAUCAGAAAGAAAAUACCAAUAAAGAUACUAAAAGAAAAUUAUUUAUUCUUUUUACGCAUAUAGGGCACUAUUCUUAAGUUUAAAUUAAUAACGGCAAAUAAUGUUUAUUAUCUAACUAGUUUUUUUUUGUUUUCUGUGAAAACGAAUUAAAACCUGACAAUAUCAUCAAUUUGAUUUCGUAAAUAUUCCAGUUAUUAUCAAUUUCCUCAAAAUUUAAGAAUUACUUGUAUUCUAUCCCCCAAAGGAAUUUUCAUGGACAUUCUAGUUUUAGGAAGUUGGAUAUAUAACAGUUGUUUUUCUAAUUUUAUAAGAGACUCUCCGUCUUGAUUUUUUUCGGAGUUCGAUACUUUUGUUAUAUUACUAUUCACAAAUGAUUCUUUUCUAAGAGAAAAUGUUUAAGUUGAUAUGCAUACCUUUUAAAAUAACUAAAAAUAAUUCAUUUAAUAUCAUGGAUAUUUUCAGAAAGGAAAUGAGAAAUGGGCAAUGGAUACUGACGGAUUGUGACAAUACACACAUUACUUCACCACUAGUUUAUCUAUGCGUGUGCUGUCCUUGGGUAACAUCCAUCGAUCCAAACGGAAAUGAAUGUGCAUGUUCAAGAAUGCAGGACUGGUAGAAUAUACUAGUUAAGAUAAACACUCCAAAUAACAGGAUUAUGCAGAACAAUAUUCUUAUCUGAAUAAAAUAACAUUUCCAAUUGAAGUGUGUCUAUCAGCUUUGACCACCAUGGUUAUUGUUUUGUAUGAAUCAUAUCUUGAUGCAAACAUAGUAUUUCAGAAAAUAAAAUAUUGUAAAAACAUGUAGAUGCAGAAAAAUGUAAAACCAGAUAUAAUUCUUUUAUCAUAUUUAACAUUUUGUAACACCUAAAUACUAUCAACAUUGGUGACUUGCAAAGGAUGAAUACGUCUACUUCUUCUAAACUUCACUGUAGCUCCAAUUUUUUUGUUUAUUUCCUAUAAUGAUUUCCGUGAUAAGGGCCCGUGGAUAAAUUCGUCGUCUACGUUCAUAUCCGUGCAUAUGGACAUUACGAGUUGGUUGACAGUUAUGACAUAACCGUUUCACAUAUGAUAUCGGAAAUAGUCCUUAUGUCGUACCAACAAUCAACUUCCCUUUAAACAAAGAAUAUCAUCUACCGAAAUAGACUAAUUGCCGGUUUUGUUAUAACAUGAGCAACAUGACGGGUGCCACAUGUGAAGCAGGAUCUACUUACACUGCUGGAGCACCUGAGAUCCAAGUUCGAGAUGAAGUUUACAUGCCUCUUUCAAUCACGAAAUUAUAGUUGUAUAUUUACAUCUUUUUCGACAUUAUGUUAAUGGUGACAAUUGUCGAAAAAAAUUUCAAUGGGAUUUGCCUUAAGAAAUAUAUAGAGUGAAAUUAAGAACCUGAUGUUCAUUUUUCAUACCCAACUAUUGAUAAACCUUCUGAAACUAGACCAGUAUCUCCUUUGGAUUUUCCGUUUAUGCCCUGCAGUCUGAUUGCUUAAAGGAAGGGAGACUUUUCAUCUGCUGACCCUCUAAUGAAAACCUACUGAUUCAAAGAAAAAUAUAAGUUUUCAAAAUGAUGAUGAUAAUGAAUGGCUGAUUAACGUCCAGCGGCAAAUAUAUAUGCAUAGUCAGGACGAAAAUAUAUUAAUGUUAUAUGAAUAUUGACCAAUUAUUGCUCUUAUUUCUUAAUUACGAGUCGUUAACGUAUAAUCAGUAAACACCUAUUUGGAAGUCUUUGGUUUAAAGUGACAAUUUUCAAACCUUGACCUUCCAAUCUCGAGGCAAAGACACUACUACAGCUACAGGACCAUCGAGGGGCUAUAACAGUUUUAAGCAAUGUUAAUCAAUGCGGAAUAUGUACUAUUUUCAAUACAUAUAAUUAGACUUUGAAAUACAAUUCUACAAAACAUAAUUGAAUGUAGUCUCGAUGGCAGUCCUAGAGUAUUCCGUCAUUUGCGAUCACACAAUGAGUAAUUUAUCGUUACGAAUGGGUUGCUUAAAUAACCAGGUUUAAUUCCCUUCUUUCUAAUUAAGGAAAUAAAUUCACUUUAGGUACCAGA
rnacentral:lncRNA from 1 species